rnacentral:rRNA from 1 species
GACGAACCGUGCGAACGUUGUUCGGAAUCACUGGGCUUAAAGGGCGCGUAGGCGGUUCGCUAAGUCGGUUGUGAAAUCCCUGGGCUUAACCUGGGAACUGCAGUCGAUACUGGCGGACUAGAGUACGGUAGAGGGUGGCGGAACUCCGGGUGUAGCGGUGAAAUGCGUAGAUAUCGUAAGGAAGACCAGUGGCGAAGGCGGGUCUCUGGACAGUUCCUGACGCUGAGGCACGAAGGCCAGGGGGAGCAAACGGG